rnacentral:lncRNA from 1 species
UGCCACUUCAUCUAAAAGGUUACCACUUUUCACAUGUUACUUCAUCUAAAAGUUGUCAUUUUUCGUUAUGUCAUUUUAUCUAAUAGUUAUCACUUUUUAUUAUACUACUUCAUUUAAAAGAUUCUCACUUUUUCUCAUACUUCUUCAUACUUAUUCUAGCUACUUCAUCUUUAUCCAUCAUUUUUCCGUUUGACUUUAAACUAUGUCUUUAACCUUAUA